rnacentral:tRNA from 1 species
GCCUGGGUGGCUCAGUCGGUUGAGCGUCCGACUUCAGCUCAGGUCACGAUCUCGCGGUCCGCGAGUUCGAGCCCCGCCUUGGGCU